UAUCCAUUGUUAAGUAAGCGCAUCCUUGUCACUUUACAGCAAGGCAGAGCUAGAUUAAUAAACGUAUAAUGCAAAAAGUUCAAUAUCUGUGAGGAAAGUUUACUUAGCUGAAUGCUCGGAACAAUAUUUAACAUUAAACAUGGUUAUCACUUACUGGUCAUAAUACUUGCAAGAGAAGAAUUACUUCCCCAUUUGAAACUCAAAGGCAAAUAUCAAGGUGUGAAGAAGACAUUGAACCGAUGAUAUCUUGAAUACUUAUGGUGCUCUAUACAACAGAAAUUGAAGAUUAAAUUUGUUGAACAGUGUGUGUGAGGCUCAAUUUUCUCGAAUAUUGACGUUGCGUGAAUUUCCUACGAAGGCAACGAAAGCGAAUGUUUCUGCGACUGAAAAAGAAAACAAGUCCUCAUUAUUUCAUAUGCGGUUAUAUGUGCAUGCGAUUUAUUUGAUGCUUGCGAUGUUUGUAAACAAAAUUAGAAUUGUAUUUGGACGAUGACUAUACCUCAGUGGGGAAUGUUUCUUUUGGCAAAUAAGCACAAUUGCUCUAAAUAAACGCUCUACAAACGAUUGUGCAUGUACUCGAGUUUGGAAUGAGACUGCUUUGUGGAAAAGAAUGAGUCAUUAACGGAGAAAUCAUUAAAAAAAAGAUUUAUAAAGUACGAAUGUAGGCUUAUGGAUAACUCCAUUACCUUUAUCAUAUACAUGCAUAUUUAAUUAACGUCAUAUUGAUAACGCACGCAUUGUGAACUUUUAAAAUGGGAAAAAAUUACUAGAAAAAUUAUCGUAUCGUUCGAGCACAAUUAAUGGAAAUCGGCAGUUCGGUCGGAUCACUGCUAAAUUUUUACUAGUCUAGUCGCCAUUGACCACUUUCAUUCAGCGUUGAAAACUGUGAAACUAUUUACGUGUGCGAGUUGGCAUUUUCGUGAUAAUUAAUGAGAAAAACACUGGGAAGUGAUGAACACACUUGAUUAUAGAUGAAUUUGCUUAAACAAACACUUCACAUUUCGACAAGCGGAGAUGUACCGACGUACCUAUGUUUUAUCACAUUUCACGAUCUGGUUGUUUGUUUUAAUCGUUAUUCAACAUUAUGGCUUCGUACGCUUUGUUUUAAAAAUGCCAGUGGCUUGACGUUAGUGUCAAUGUAACUAUGCUUUCCUUGUCAUACGUUGUUUGUUGAAUAUUCCACGUAUAAGCGAUAUUAUAUAGCGAGAAUUUGCCUGUA